rnacentral:rRNA from 1 species
UACGGGGGGGGGCAAGCGUUGUUCGGAAUUACUGGGCGUAAAGGGCUCGUAGGUGGCCAACUAAGUCAGACGUGAAAUCCCCAGGCUCAACUUGGGAACUGCGUCUGAUACUGGAUGGCUUGAAUUCGGGAGAGGGAUGCAGAAUUCCAGGUGUAGCGGUGAAAUGCGCAGAUAUCAGGAAGAACACCCGUGGCUAAGGCGGCUCUCUAGUACGGUACUGACGCUGAGACGCGAAAAGCGUGGGGAGCGAACAGG